GGGGAAUUUUGGACAAUGGGCGAAAGCCUGAUCCAGCAGUGCCGCGUGAGUGAAGAAGGCCCUUGGGUUGUAAAGCUCUUUCGGUCGGGAAGAAGGAAGGGUGGCUAAUAUCCACCCUGACAGACGGUACCGGCAUAAGAAGCACCGGCUAACUACGUGCCAGCAGCCGCGGUAAUACGUAGGGUGCAAGCGUUAAUCGGAAUGACUGGGCGUAAAGGGUGUGUAGGCGGUCUGCUAAGUCUGAUGUGAAAUCCCCGGGCUCAACCUGGGAACUGCGUUGGAAACUAGCAAACUAGAGUACGUAAGAGGGGGGUGGAAUUCCACGUGUAGCAGUGAAAUGCGUAGAGAUGUGGAGGAACACCGAUGGCGAAGGCAACCCCCUGGGACGAUACUGACGCUGAGGCACGAAAGCGUGGGGAGCAAAC
rnacentral:rRNA from 1 species